rnacentral:rRNA from 1 species
AUUGAACGCUGGCGGCAGGCCUAACACAUGCAAGUCGAACGGUAGCACAGAGAGCUUGCUCUCGGGUGACGAGUGGCGGACGGGUGAGUAACGUCUGGGAAACUGCCCGAUGGAGGGGGAUAACUACUGGAAACGGUAGCUAAUACCGCAUAACGUCGCAAGACCAAAGUAGGGGACCUUCGGGCCUCACACCUUCGGAUGUGCCCAGAUGGGAUUAGCUAGUAGGUGGGGUAAUGGCUCACCUAGGCGACGAUCCCUAGCUGGUCUGAGAGGAUGACCAGCCACACUGGAACUGAGACACGGUCCAGACUCCUACGGGAGGCAGCAGUGGGGAAUAUUGCACAAUGGGCGCAAGCCUGAUGCAGCCAUGCCGCGUGUAUGAAGAAGGCCUUCGGGUCGUAAAGUACUUUCAGCGGGGAGGAAGGCGGUGAAGUUAAUAACUUCACCGAUUGACGUUACCCGCAGAAGAAGCACCGGCUAACUCCGUGCCAGCAGCCGCCGUAA